CUCCUCCAUCUUCGAUUCAAUAAUGGUUACUUUGCUAUGUUGCAAAUCACCUCUCUAGAUUUUGGGGAGUUGAGGGAGCAACGAAGCAGAAGGUCAUGGUGACUAUUUGUUGAUCUGUGUUUAGAUCUACCCUCCCUUUGCUCCUUGAGCAUGAAUCUUGUAUUAUAUGUUUGAAAUUUUGGAAAAAAAAAAUGUCAAAUACACAAUGACGAGGAAAUCUCAGCUGGAAAGAUAUGGUAGAAGAAGAUGAAGAAUUUUCUUCAAGUAAACAAUAGAAAUAUAUAGGGUUAUUUAAAGGGGCAAAGAAUUUAUGCUUUGAAUUUUGUAUUAAAAGCGAGAGCUUUUCUAAAUCAAAGAUUUGGCUUAGAAGGGACAAGGAGAAGCAUAAAUAAAAAUCAACUGGGGAUUCUUCAAGGAGGCCAUAUUUCUUUCCAUUUUCAAUGAGCAAAAAUGUUGUCGCAGAUGGUGAUUUGAAAAUGAAGAAUAGGAAUGGUGGUGUAAGGAGAUACUAAUUCUAAGAUUGGCAUUGGAAGAUGGAAAAGUAGAUAUAGAUUCAGGUUUUAAUGAGCAGAAUGUAAUGCAAAAAACUGUUUCAUUUGAAAGGAAUACCCUGCUUUGGCUUCUUGGAAAAGAAAAUAAGGUUAUUCGCUCA